rnacentral:piRNA from 1 species
UGAGAAGAUGACCCAGAUCAUGUUUGA